rnacentral:rRNA from 1 species
AGUGAACGCUGGCGGUAGGCCUAACACAUGCAAGUCGAACGGCAGCACAGUAAGAGCUUGCUCUUACGGGUGGCGAGUGGCGGACGGGUGAGGAAUACAUCGGAAUCUACUUUUUCGUGGGGGAUAACGUAGGGAAACUUACGCUAAUACCGCAUAUGACCUACGGGUGAAAGCAGGGGAUCUUCGGACCUUGCGCGAUUGAAUGAGCCGAUGUCGGAUUAGCUAGUUGGCGGGGUAAAGGCCCACCAAGGCGACGAUCCGUAGCUGAUCUGAGAGGAUGAUCAGCCACACUGGAACUGAGACACGGUCCAGACUCCUACGGGAGGCAGCAGUGGGGAAUAUUGGACAAUGGGCGCAAGCCUGAUCCAGCCAUACCGCGUGGGUGAAGAAGGCCUUCGGGUUGUAAAGCCCUUUUGUUGGGAAAGAAAAGCAGCAGGUUAAUACCCCGCUGUUCUGACGGUACCCAAAGAAUAAGCACCGGCUAACUUCGUG